UCAGUAUGUGCCAGUUAGACUUUUCAGUGCUGUUUUUCUACAGUCAGCAGAUUUGGGCCAGAUCCACUUACCACAUCAGAACCAAAGCUUCCAGAAAGACAGUUCACUGAUGUGGCCCACAUCUGUAAUAUUGACCCAAACCACCUCCAAACUUGUGUGUUCCACUCUGGUUUACUGAACAGAGCCGAACGCGCGAAGUGAGUGAGGUCCGUCCGUUUGAGAGACGUUAUGCUGAUCUGGCCCUCAUCCGUACCACGGAUUAUAGCCAGAAACCGUUGGAAUAGAGCAAAUUAAACUUUUGUGGGGGUGCCCAUUGCCAUAUUUCGUUAUUAAGUCCUGAUUUGUUAAAUCUUACAAUGGAACACUUGCACGUAGCCUACACAAAAAUGAUUAAUUCACUAACAAAGUAAUAGGCUUGUCUUAAAAUGGAAGAUUUACCACAUAACUAAAAAAAUACAUUAGCAACUGUCCACUAUCCAAGUGCAAUGGUCCAAGCUGUAUUGCCAUCCUGGGAAGAAAAAAAGUUGCGAACAUCGUGGGAAAAAACGGCACUGGCGCACAUAAUGGAUGGCAACAUGGGUACGUAUAUUCAUUUUUUAAAUUCGUUGGCAAUGGUGUGAUUAUGGUGAAUAUAGUGUUAUGGGACUGCAAGUUUCUGCUUUAAGUUUUAGUUUGCCCCAGGGGCGGUUCUAGACCCUUUUAAGUGGGGCUCCAGCCACCCUGCCGUCAUCUUAGCCCCCCUAAAAUUAGUCUUAAUAUUUCUACCAAACUAUCAAAUAUAUUUUUCUGAAGUUUUAUUUAUUUGUAAAAACAAUUUAUUCGAAGAUAAUUAUAAAAAAAAACCGCAAAAUGCAGGACAUUUAGAAAAAAAUUACGAGUUUAUGAGGCAUUUGAUUAGCUUUGCUGUUCUGCGCAUGCGUCGUAACCGUCAGUGGAGGAGAGCUCGAGCGCCUGUGCUUCAGGUCACACAGAGGGAGCAAUCUUUUCAUAAAAUAUCCAGCGUGGAAGCUCAGAAGGUAUUUUCGCUAAUGUUUUAAUUUGUUUGCUAACCUGUGUGAGUGCAGUCAUGUCUACAAAAUAUAUAAGAAUAUUUGCCGUCUUAAAUGAGAUAAUAAUAGUUAUCCCCCGUUUAUAAUUCAAAACUGCUUUGCAUACUGAAGCCGUGCCGUUUAAAGUUUGCCGUUGUCAUGACACGUUUUGCAAUACUACAAGGUCUAUAUUUUUACCUUUUUCUAGUUAACAGUAAUACCAGCUGUGAAUAAUAUGAUGCUAAGUUAUCGAAUGUGCAAUUGAGAAAUAUGUCAUAUGAGUUUAACCCACGAAAUUAAACACACAAAUAAGAUAGACUAUAAACAACAUUCAGUGACUCGUUUGCUUUUAUAGAUGGAUAUAUAACGUUUUUCAAAUGCUGGAAAGGAGAGCAAACAGGUGGAGAAAGAGUUAGAGAGACUGAAGAGGUCAGAGACAGGUGCAUUUAUAGUCCAGCAUGACAUAAAAAAUCCUCUGCAUGCAACCACGAGGAGAGGGGUAUUUUACUAAGGAGUUUUGUCUAUAUAUUAUAUAAAAUCUACUGUUGGGAAGAGCAGAACCUAAUCCAAAUAAAAAUAAAAAAGCUGUUAAAAGCCAGUUGAAGGUGGUCAACACAAACCAAAUGAAGAUGUUGCACAUUCCACAAACAAUAAAAAAGAAGAUCAAGUUUUGUGUCCAACACACUUGGAUGAGACGUGCCCGACCCCUGACUUUGUCUACCCUACAUUAAGUUGUGAUGGCACACUUCAUGACAGUAAACAUCGGUAUCAAGAUGGUGUGAUUGAUCUAUACCCUAGAAUAAGCUGUGACACUAUGAGACGGUGACAUAAUGAACAGCCAUCUUCCAGACAACCGAAACAGGCAGAUAUUGUCUACAAUCCCAAAUUCUGGAUUGACGAUCCAGUACCAGAAGGCACUCCAAUCCCAGAGAGCAUCCCAUUUUAUGUGAGGUAACACAACGAAAAAAUAACAGGAUGGAGACCUGAUUCUUCACCUAUGGCCUUAGCUUCAAAUGCAAGAAGUCCAGCAACUGUCUGAGCUGGUGGAUAUUCUAUCAGAGACUGCAUGAACAAUGUUAUGAACAGAAUGAUGUCUAAUUGUCUUAUGGCAAAGUUCAAUAUGAGGGGUAGUGGACAUCUGGAAAAGAAGUCUUUUAAAGGCACACCUUUGUAUUAUGUUAUUGAAGAUGCUGUGAGGAGGUGGAGCCCAAAAGCCACGGACUCGGAAAUAGAUGCAGCUAUGGCAGACCACCUCAAGCACGCUCCAGGAAGAGCUGGGGGUUGUGAAUACAAAAAAUAAGCCAAACAGAUGUAAUGUGUUAGAGAUAGUUCACACAAAAAUGAAAAUUGUUAUAAUUUUCUUACCCACGUGUUUCAAACCUGUAUACAUUUUUAUUUUUUGCUGAACACAAAGAUUGAAUAAUGUUUGUAACCAAGCAUUUCUCACAACCCAUUAACUGUCAUAAUCAUUUUUUUUACAACUGUAGUAAUGGGCAGGAGAUCUGCUUUUUUAAAAACAAUUUUUCAAAUAUCUUUGUGUUCCGCAGAACAUAGAAAGGUAUACAGGUUUGAAACAUGAGAGGGAGUAAAUGACUAAAUAUUCAUUUUUGGGUGAACUAUCCCUUUAUAUAAUAAAGUAUUUUGAAAUUGUUAUUAUAGUUAAAAAAAUAAAAGUCUUAAAUCAGAA